AUAAAAGCAGCAUCUGAAGGGAAUGUCUGUUCGGUUUGUGUCAUCGUGGUUACUUGUUAGGUACUACUUAAUAAUGUAACUAUUUUUCAGUACACCACCGGGUAGACAUUCAUCCGCAGAUGUCUUGCUGUAAA
rnacentral:pre_miRNA from 1 species